rnacentral:lncRNA from 1 species
GAAAGUGGAAAAAACAGACUCGCAUGUCUCAUCUAACAAAUACAGGAAAAGAAUCAUAUUGAAAACACUCCUAACCCAACCCCUUCCUUCGUAGAGCCCGUGUAUUGUAAGUGAUCCGAACCUGCCCGGAGCGAGCCUCCCAUAGAGGCAAGUGAAGUUGGUGAGCCGUAUGAUGGGCAACUAUCUCCUGCGGUUCGGAGAGGACUCAGCUGUUAGUUAGUACCCCCUUGGUUUCGGGGUGGACCUUUUCACUCUAUUUUAUUAUAUACGCUUAGCGAAAAGAAUGUUUUUUGAUACACCUAGGACAUGGAUUUGGUUCGGAGAGGACUCAGCGGUUAGUUAUUACCCCCUUGGUUUCGUGGUGGACCUUUUCACUCUAUUUUAUUAUAUACGCUAAGCGAAAAGAAUGUUUUUUGAUACACCUAGGACAUGGAUUCUAUUUGAACCAAUGGAUCGUGAGAAGUCGUUACUACUGGCAAGGACUUCC